UACAGAGGGGGCAAGCGUUGUUCGGAAUUACUGGGCGUAAAGGGCGCGUAAGCGGCCUUCUAAGUCGAACGUGAAAUCCCCGGGCUCAACCCGGGAACUGCGUCCGAUACUGGAAGGCUUGAAUCCGGGAGAGGGAUGCGGAAUUCCAGGUGUAGCGGUGAAAUGCGUAGAUAUCUGGAGGAACACCGGUGGCGAAGGCGGCAUCCUGGACCGGUAUUGACGCUGAGGCGCGAAAGCCAGGGGAGCAAACGGG
rnacentral:rRNA from 1 species